UGUUCAUAUGUUCUACCAAUCUAUUAUUUUGUGCCACGAGUCAUAAAAUACAUUAAAACAUUUAACUAAAAAAAUACAAUAAUUAUUGUUAUAUACCUUUGCUUUGGAUUUACCAGUUGAUUCUUCAUCUCUGCAGUGUGUUUUUUUACUCACAUGCAGUCAAAAAAUGAGUAUUGUCUGAAAAUAACUUGUCACAUAACUUGUCAAAAAAUAAAUAAAUCCAUAAUUCAGCUAUAGUCAUAG